UGAUCGCAUGAUCGAGUGUGAAAAACUCCGGUGGUAUGAGAUGGACCCGCGUCUGAUUAGCUAGUUGGUGGGGUAACGGCCCACCAAGGCGACGAUCAGUAGCCGGCCUGAGAGGGUGAACGGCCACAUUGGGACUGAGACACGGCCCAAACUCCUACGGGAGGCAGCAGUGGGGAAUAUUGCACAAUGGGGGAAACCCUGAUGCAGCGACGCCGCGUGAAGGAUGAAGUAUUUCGGUAUGUAAACUUCUAUCAGCAGGGAAGAAAAUGACGGUACCUGACUAAGAAGCCCCGGCUAACUACGUGCCAGUAGCCGCGGUAAUACGUAGGGGGCAAGCGUUAUCCGGAUUUACUGGGUGUAAAGGGAGCGUAGACGGCAGUGCAAGUCUGAAGUGAAAGCCCGGGGCUCAACCCUGGGACUGCUUUGGAAACUGUGCAGCUAGAGUGUCGGAGAGGCAAGCGGAAUUCCUAGUGUAGCGGUGAAAUGCGUAGAUAUUAGGAGGAACACCAGUGGCGAAGGCGGCUUGCUGGACGAU
rnacentral:rRNA from 1 species